rnacentral:lncRNA from 1 species
AAACGAGGAAAUGAACUAUCUCAAAAAUAAUUGUUGCAGCUUUUGUUCUGAUAUUUGAGAGAUUAUUUUAAAGCAGAGUAGAUAUAUGAGGCUCUUGGAGCAGACGAUCUCUAAGCAAGGACAGAACUCGUGUUUGCAUAUUCAAGCGUCCAUCAUGUUUGCAUAUUUUUUGUGUGGAAUCAUUCAAUUUGAAACUUACAGUGUACUCUCUCUUUCUAUUUUGGAAUCAUUCAAGUAGGGACAGAACCGAUAUUUUGAUACCUUAGAAACUAAUAAAAGAGGCUCACUGAUGAUUUUCAAUCCCCUGCCAUAAGAACAGAA